AUGAGGAUCAUGAUCAAGGGCGGGGUGUGGAAGAACACCGAGGACGAGAUCCUCAAGGCCGCCGUGAUGAAGUACGGCAAGAACCAGUGGGCGCGCAUCUCCUCGCUGCUCGUCCGCAAGUCCGCCAAGCAGUGCAAGGCCCGCUGGUACGAGUGGCUCGACCCCUCCAUCAAGAAGACUGAGUGGACAAGGGAAGAGGAUGAGAAGCUGCUCCAUCUUGCUAAGCUGAUGCCUACUCAAUGGAGGACUAUUGCACCUAUUGUGGGUCGAACACCAUCCCAGUGUCUCGAGCGUUAUGAAAAAUUGCUUGAUGCUGCCUGUGCAAAGGAUGAGAAUUAUGAGCCUAAUGAUGACCCAAGAAAGUUGCGACCUGGGGAGAUUGAUCCAAACCCCGAGUCAAAACCUGCACGUCCAGAUCCUGUUGACAUGGACGAAGAUGAAAAGGAAAUGCUUUCUGAGGCAAGGGCUCGCUUAGCUAACACCAGGGGUAAAAAGGCAAAACGGAAGGCAAGAGAGAAACAGCUUGAAGAGGCGAGGCGGCUUGCAUCACUGCAAAAAAGGAGAGAACUGAAGGCAGCUGGUAUUGACAACCGGCACAAAAAAAGAAAGAGAAAGGGAAUUGACUAUAAUGCCGAGAUCCCUUUUGAAAAGAGACCCCCUCCAGGCUUUUAUGAUACAGUGGGUGAGGACAGGCCACUUGAGCAUGUGCAGUUUCCAACUACGAUUGAGGAGCUUGAAGGGAGGAGAAGAGUGGAUGUAGAGGCUCAAUUGAGAAAGCAAGACAUUGCCAAGAACAAGAUUCUGCAGAGGCAGGAUGCUCCUGCCGCAAUAAUGCAAGCAAAUAAACUCAAUGACCCAGAAGCUGUCACGAGAAGGUCCAAACUAAUGCUUCCACCACCCCAAAUUUCUGAUCAUGAAUUGGAGGAGAUUGCAAAGAUGGGCAAUGCUGGUGAUCCUGCUCUAGCCGAGGAGCUUGGUGAAGGAAGUACUGCCACCAGGACACUGCUUGCAAAUUAUUCCCAGACUCCAAGGCUUGGUAUGACACCAUUGCGAACGCCGCAACGAACGCCAGGUGGGAAAGGUGACGCUAUUAUGAUGGAGGCAGAGAAUCUUGCACGUUUAAGGGAAUCACAAACACCUCUUUUAGGAGGUGAUAACCCAGAGCUUCACCCAUCAGAUUUCUCAGGCGUUACACCACGUAAGAAAGAGAUACAGACUCCGAAUCCCAUGGCAACGCCUCUGGCUAGCCCUGGCCCUGGUGUUACCCCAAGGAUUGGUUUGACACCGUCCAGAGAUGGAAAUUCCUUUGGGUUAACUCCAAAAGGAACCCCUUUCAGGGAUGAGCUUCACAUAAAUGAAGAGGUGGAAAUGCAGGACAGCGCUCAGCUUGAGCUUCGUAGGCAAGCAGAGUUAAGAAGAGGUCUGCGGUCUGGUUUUGCUUCUAUUCCACAGCCUAAGAAUGAGUACCAGAUAGUUAUGCCACCUAUCACAGAGGAGAAGGAAGAAGCUGAAGAGAGAAUUGAAGAGGAUAUGUCAGACAGGUUAGCACGAGAAAGGGCUGAGGAACAAGCAAGGCAGGAGGCAUUGCUCAGAAAGAGGUCCAAAGUGUUGCAGAGGAGUUUGCCUAGGCCACCUGCUGCUUCAGUGGAGAUUCUCCGGCAAUCUCUUAUUAAAGGUGGUGAAAGCAGAAGUACCUUUGUGCCUCCUACAUCACUUGAACAAGCUGACGAGCUAAUAAAUGAGGAACUCCUUAGGCUCCUUGAGCAUGAUAAUGCUAAAUAUCCUCUUGAUGAACAAACUCAAAGAGAGAAAAAGAAAGGGAGCAAGCGUCAGACAAAUGGGCCAGCUUUCGUCCCUGAAAUCGAAGGUUUUGAUGAGCAUGAGCUAAAAGAGGCAAGUUCUAUGGUUGAGGAGGAGAUUCAGUAUCUUCGUGUGGCCAUGGGCCAUGAAAAUGAAUCUUUUGAGGAUUUUGUAAAGUCACAUGAUGCAUGCCAAGAGGACCUUAUGUUUUUCCCUGCUAACAACAGCUAUGGCCUUGCUAGUGUUGCUGGAAAUGCUGAUAAAAUUUCUGCUUUGCAACAUGAGUUUGAAAUGGUAAAGAAGAGAAUGGACGAUGAGGCAAAGAAAGCCUCUCGGCUUGAGCAGAAGAUCAAACUGCUGACACAAGGAUACCAGGCACGAGCUGCAAAAUUGGGGUCACAGAUCCAGGACACCUUCAAGCAGAUGAACACUGCAGCCACAGAACUUGAAUGCUUCCAAGAGUUGCAGAAACAAGAACAGAUGGCUGGUGCCUAUCGUGUGAGAAAUUUGUCUGAAGAAGUGAAUAAACAGAAAGCACUAGAACAGACUCUCCAGAGCCGCUAUGGUGAUCUGUUGUCUGGUUACCAGAGCAUCCAUGAACAACUUGAGGAGCACAAGAGGCUACUUAAGCUACAGGAGGAGGCAAUAGAGGCAGAAAAGCGUGCUAAGGAGGAGGCAAUAGAGGCAGAAAACCGUGCUAAGGAGGCGGCAUUAGAGGCAGAAAACCGUGCUAAGGAGGAGCCAAUAGAGGCAGAAAACCGUGCUAAGGAGGCGGCAUUAGAGGCAGAAAACCGUGCUAAGGAGGAGGCAAUAGAGGCAGAAAACCGUGCUAAGGAGGCAUUAGAGGCAGAAACCCGUGCUAAGGAGGAGGAAGCUGCAACUCGAAAUCGUGCUGCUGAGGAAGAAAAUGAGAGGAAGAAUCAUGACAUUGAAGAGGAAUCAGGAAAGAUGACUACAAUUACCGAUGAAGAAGCUGCAGGAAGCAAAGGGGAUCAGAUGGAUAUGGACAAUGCUGAUGUAGCUGGAGAACUGGUAGGUCCAAUUCCUCCAUUGCCUGACACUCAAGUGGAUAACGAUGGGGCUUCAAUUGAACAGAGUACUUCUAAUGCUCAGAGUGGUGACACCGUUACUGUGAAUGAGGGAGCCAUUGACAAGGUCAAUUCAUCCAAAUUAGAUGGUCAGGACAAUACCAGUUGUAGCAUGGAUAUUGAUGCUGGUAGCCAGGAAGAGGGAAAAAAUGUUCUCGCGGCUGCUGCUACAAGUGUAGAUGUAGGGAACACACCUGUAUCUUCAGAUCAAGCUGUCUCGAAUGAAGGGAGUGAUGCGGUUCACGCACCUGUAUCUUCAGAUCAAGCUGUCUCGAAUGAAGGGAGUGACGCGGUUCACGCACCUGUAUCUUUGGAUCAAGCUGCGCCAAAUGAAGAGAGCGGCGCGGUUCCUGAAUAA
rnacentral:rRNA from 1 species